UUACUUAAUUAUUUCUAAUUAGCAUUUUUGUGGCAUUGAGGUUGCCUAUGCCCGUCAAUGGGUCAUGUUCCCAGGAGUCUAUGUCUUUCAAUCAGCAGCGUGGUUGGAUGAUUCUACUCACUGGAGUUACAUCGGUGAAAGACCAGAAGGCCUUGCCCUCAGGGGGCUUACAUUCUAGUAUGAGGAGAUGCAGUAUAAACAAUAAAUAGAUACACAUGGAAUAUAUAAGUCAGCAACACGGAUGGAGCUGGAGGCCAUUAUUCUAAGAGCAAUAACUCAGAAACAGAAAAUCAAGUACCGCAUGUUCUCACUUAUAAGUGGAACCUAAACACUGAAUCAUUCUCCGCCUAACUCUCCAGGCAGCUACUACCAAUCAAUUAAAGUUGGCAUGUGAGAGGAUAUCUGUUCAACAUCAUUGAACCAAGUAGACCCUACCAAUUUGUAUCACCAGCCCCCAAGGAUAAAGUCUGACACACAGACAUCCAAGACUGUGGAAUAAAUGAGUGAAUUCUGAGGGAAGCAGACAAGUGGUUCUAUCUUCAUAGAGUUGUUACGGUUACUGGCAUUGAGUCAAGGAAAACCAGCCACAAAUGAUGAAACCAGGGAUUAGGGUCCAA